rnacentral:rRNA from 1 species
UUCCUACGGGACGCAGCAGUGAGGAAUAUUGGUCAAUGGGCUUACGCCUGAACCAGCCAAGUCGCGUGAGGGAAGACUGCCCUAUGGGUUGUAAACCUCUUUUGUCAGGGAGCAACGCCGGCUACGUGUAGCCGGACUGAGAGUACCUGAAGAAAAAGCAUCGGCUAACUCCGUGCCAGCAGCCGCGGUAAUACGGAGGAUGCGAGCGUUAUCCGGAUUUAUUGGGUUUAAAGGGUGCGCAGGCGGGAGAUCAAGUCAGCGGUAAAAUGUCGGGGCUCAACCCCGGCCGGCCGUUGAAACUGGUU